AGUGAACGCUGGCGGUAGGCCUAACACAUGCAAGUCGAACGGCAGCACAGUAGUAGCUUGCUCUUACGGGUGGCGAGUGGCGGACGGGUGAUGAAUACAUCGGAAUCUACUUUUUCGUGGGGGAGAACGUAGGGAAACAUACGCUAAUACCGCAUACGACCUACGGGUGGAAGCAGGGGAUCUUCGGCCCUUGCGCGAUUGAAUGAGCCGAUGUCGGAUUAGCUAGUUGGCGGGGUAAAGGCCCACCAAGGCGACGAUCCGUAGCUGGUCUGAGAGGAUGAUCAGCCACACUGGAACUGAGACACGGUCCAGACUCCUACGGGAGGCAGCAGUGGGGAAUAUUGGACAAUGGGCGCAAGCCUGAUCCAGCCAUACCGCGUGGGUGAAGAAGGCCUUCGGGUUGUAAAGCCCUUUUGUUGGGAAAGAAAAGCAGCAGGUUAAUACCCCGCUGUUCUGACGGUACCCAAAGAAUAAGCACCGGCUAACUUCGUG
rnacentral:rRNA from 1 species